UACAGAGGGUGCAAGCGUUGUUCGGAAUUAUUGGGCGUAAAGGGCGCGUAGGCGGUGCGGUAAGUCCGCAGUGAAAUCUCUGGGCUCAACUCAGAGUCUGCUGUGGAAACUGCCGUGCUUGAGUGUGGGAGAGGUGAGUGGAAUUCCCGGUGUAGCGGUGAAAUGCGUAGAUAUCUGGAGGAACACCGGUGGCGAAGGCGGCAUCCUGGACCAACACUGACGCUGAGUGAGCGAAAGCCAGGGGAGCAAACGGG
rnacentral:rRNA from 1 species